GAUGAACGCUGGCGGCGUGCCUAAUACAUGCAAGUCGAGCGAAUGGAUUAAGAGCUUGCUCUUAUGAAGUUAGCGGCGGACGGGUGAGUAACACGUGGGUAACCUGCCCAUAAGACUGGGAUAACUCCGGGAAACCGGGGCUAAUACCGGAUAACAUUUUGAAACGCAUGGUUCGAAAUUGAAAGGCGGCUUCGGCUGGCAAUUAUGGAUGGACCCGCGUCGCAUUAGCUAGUUGGUGAGGUAACGGCUCACCAAGGCAACGAUGCGUAGCCGACCUGAGAGGGUGAUCGGCGACACUGGGACUGAGACACGGCCCAGACUCCUACGGGAGGCAGCAGUAGGGAAUCUUCCGCAAUGGACGAAAGUCUGACGGAGCAACGCCGCGUGAGUGAUGAAGGCUUUCGGGUCGUAAAACUCUGUUGUUAGGGAAGAACAAGUGCUAGUUGAAUAAGCUGGCACCUUGACGGUACCUAACCAGAAAGCCACGGCUAACUACGUGCCAGCCGCCGCAGUAA
rnacentral:rRNA from 1 species